CUUCCCCCGUCUUUCUCCCCCCACCGUCAUCCGAGAGCCAGAAGACAACACACCUAAAGACUCCUCUCUUUCUCUCUGUCCCUCCCUCCCCUCCUCCUCCCUUCUUUCUCUUCCUUCUCCGCUCUUUCUCUCCCUCUCUUUCUUCUUCGAUCCUUGUCUCUUCCAAGCCCUAGUUCUUGAUGCGCUUGUGAGGAGGUAGGAGAAGGUAUAGGGCAUGGAGCGGAUCGUGGGCGGGAAGUACAAGCUUGGGCGCAAGAUUGGGAGCGGAUCCUUCGGUGAGAUCUAUCUCGCGACCCACGUUGACACGUUCGAGAUCGUCGCGGUCAAGAUCGAGAACAGCAAGACCAAACACCCACAGUUGCUUUACGAGGCCAAGCUGUAUAACAUUCUUCAGGGUGGAAGUGGUAUAGCAAACAUAAGAUGGUGUGGUCUAGAUGGAGAGGACAAUGUUCUUGUUCUUGAUUUGCUUGGUCCAAGCCUUGAGGAUCUGUUUGUCUAUUGCGGUCGGAAGUUCUCGCUAAAGACAGUUCUAAUGUUGGCAGAUCAGAUGAUUACGAGAAUUGAAUAUGUUCAUUCAAAAGGGUUUUUACAUAGGGAUAUUAAACCUGAUAAUUUUCUCAUGGGCCUUGGUCGGAAAGCAAACCAGGUAUACAUCAUUGACUUUGGGCUUGCAAAAAGAUAUCGGGAUUCUACCACGAAUCGCCAUAUUCCAUACAGAGAAAACAAAAAUUUAACUGGUACUGCUCGCUAUGCAAGUUGCAACACUCAUUUGGGCAUAGAACAAAGCCGUCGGGAUGAUUUGGAGUCUCUUGGUUAUGUUCUUCUGUAUUUCCUGAGAGGAAGUCUUCCAUGGCAGGGUCUAAAAGCCGCCACAAAGAAGCAGAAAUAUGAUAAGAUAUGUGAGAAAAAGCUUUCAACUCCUAUUGAGGUUCUAUGCAAGUCUCAUCCAGUUGAGUUCGCAUCCUACUUCCAUUACUGUCAUUCAUUGACAUUUGAUCAACGACCUGACUAUGGAUUCCUGAAGCGCCUAUUUCGGGAUUUGUUUAGUCGUGAAGGUUACGAGUUUGAUUAUAUCUUCGACUGGACCAUUUUGAAAUACCAGCAGUCACAAAGAACAAAAGCUCAGCCUCGAUUCUCGCCAGCCUCUGGUGGAAUGACUAGCCGAGCAAUCCCAAUGGAUGUCGACAAACAUCAAGGUGUAAAUGAUGUCACUCAUCCAGCUGAAAGUACAGAGCGCAUUGGACCAAGUAAUGCAGCACGCCCAACAGUUCGAAUGCAGUUCAAAUCACCAGCUGAUAAUAAUAAGAUUUCUGACAAUCAGGGUCUUGAGAGGAUGAGAGUGGGAACAAGUGCUGAAAAAACGCAGAUGCCUUCUACAUCAUUUACUCUUCCUGGUGCUUCGAAGAGACAUGUUCUAAACUCAAAACAAUCUGGAUCAGCUGAUACUUCGCACCUAGGUCAGGGUUUGGGAAGCAACUUUGGUUCAUCCAGCAGUUGGAUUCCUACAUUGCAGCGGAACGCUUCAGCCAAAUGAUUGGUGCUGAUUCAAAUGGGAAGGAUCUGAAAAACAGUUUAUAUAUGCUGUUGAAGGUGACUGCAAAGUCGUCAUUGCUCAAGUCACUUUCUGGAUAUCAGGAUGCAUACUGUAUUUUUGUUAAGCGUUAGGUACUCAAGUCGCUCGGGAUCUGAAUAGAGCACAAUAAUCUAGUUUUCAGGUGCCAGUCUUCUAUUCUUUUGUGUAAGAAGCUUUCGUCAAGUAGCAGUACAUCUUUACCUGUAAGUUGGUUAUCACUAUCAGAGGACGAUGCUGUAAUGGUUGAAAAGCAGGAGAUAGUUUUGAAGAUCUUCAGAUGGACUGAACAAGUAUUAUGUACAAAUCUGGCUUCAUUCUGGAGAAUAUGUAAACAGGUUUUCCGGAAUAUGAAGAGCCACAAGGUAGUCUUUGGUAGUGCACUGUGUUCCCUGCAUUAUAAAAAUCUUGAUGGUUCUCUGCAAAUUCUGUGCAUAGUUCUGCAGAUUGAGGAUUGUCAUGGACUUCCAUGAAUUUCCGAAAGAUUACCAUGGGGGAUUAAAAAUUUGAAAUUAUUCAUAGUGAUCAUGAAAGAUUUUCUUUCUAGAAAAUAUAUAAGUGAGCAACGAAUCUAAUGAUUUGGAGGAUUCUGCUCAUAAAUACCCUUCCAAAAUAGUCAGGUUCUGCCAGAUUUUGCACUGGUGGAAACAAAAUCACUUAGUCCCAGACGAAUCUUAAGGUGUGCAUGAAAUUCAUAUCAUUGAAAUACUUUAAUCUGACUAUAUCAAGCAUGGUCCGUGGAGUUGGAAUGCUAUAUAAAUCCUACAUGUAAUAUCUCAGCUGUUGUUUGUGGUUGUUGGUUCUCCACUUCAAGGAUUUUUAGCAUGAGGGUGGCUUUGGGUGGUUUCUUGUUUGCCUUCAUUUUGUAGGUCUGUUGGUGACUGUUUUUAUUCACCCGCUUUAUUCUUUUCUGGGAUGGUAUAUGGCACCUGCUGUCAAAUUGCUAAUUGAAGUACUUCCUAA